UUUAGGAUUUAGGAUUUGAUUAGGAUUUGAUUAGGAUUUGGUUAGGGUUUGGUUAGGAUUUGAUUUAGAAUUUGGUCAGGGUUUGGUUUAAGAUUUGUUUAGGGUUUGAUUUAGGAUUUGGUUUAGAGUUUGGUUAGGGAUUUAUUUAGGAUUUAGUUAGGAUUUGGUUUAGAAUUUAGGAUUUGGAUUAGGAUUUGAUUUAGGAUUUAAGUUUUAGAUUAGGAUUUGGUUAGGAUUUGGUUAAGAUUUGGUUGGGGUUUGGUUUAAGAUUUGUUUAGGGUUUGAUUUAGGGUUUAGGAUUUUAUUAGGAUUUAAGAUUUAAUUAAUUUUGGCCUAAAUUUUGAAUGAAAUUCAAUAGGAUUUUAACUAGAAUUAAAUUAAGAUUGAAUUGAGAUGUAUUUGAGUGAUAUUUAUGAUCCUUCUAAUAUUUCUUUAAGAAUUCUUAUUGUUUGUUUGAAAUUU
rnacentral:lncRNA from 1 species